GCUGCCCGCAGUGGGUAAGGGGGCUAUUGGCGAAGGCGACGGAAGGGCGCGCAGUCGGCGGCUGCAGCCAGGAAAACGCGCAAAUCCCGUUCCGGGAACACCCGACCCGCCCAGGGACUGCACGCAGAGUGGAGCCUCUUCUUCCCCGGGCGGUCUGCCUUCUCCGCCCCUCUGCCCCACCGCCACCCAGCUUCCGUCCCUGCGCCCCCCGCGCUCCUCAACCCCUCCGGGACGCUAGGAUGCGGGCGCCGCCCUUUGGCCACGAAGACGCGAGGUCGCUUAGUGGGACUGUGGCUUAACUGCCGCGCAGGUUGGCUUCCUCCACGCAGCCUGCCUCUCCUGACUCUCGGGAAAGGUGGGCCACCCGCUACCGCCUGCGGCGCCUGCGCGCCACUGAGCCACCCAUCCAGGAUAUGGAGUCAGUGGCUCCGGACCGCGGCCUCCAGGCGCAGUUUGGGACCCGCGUGACAGUGCAAAUCCACCUACGAGGUCCGGAGCGGCAACGUCUUUGCUGCCGUUCACCCCUCAGGUGAACUCUCGAAUGGCACUUGACUGCUGCUGCCACUGUCUGCAGUCACCUUCUCUCUGGUUCCCAAACCUGAAGGAGAGAUGCCCUGAAAGUCGGCCGACCUCUCCCAUCCUCUUCAGCCCGAAAGCCGGGCUGGAAAGAAGCCAGUUCCGCACGGGAAGUCGCUCUUCCCCUCGGCUCCGCCUGGAAGCUGCUUCUCCAACACAAGCCCCUCCCGGGCUUCCCGUUAGAUGCUGGAAUGGAUGCGGCCCCUGCUGACUGCUCUGGAGCACCAGCCCUUUGCUAGCAAGGACUGAAGUUCUGCUGAACUGCAGUGACCCUGCCCCAUGGAUAGACAAAAGACUUCAAGAAACUGUGCCAAUAUGGAAGAAAUAAAGGACAUGUCUGAUGAAUAGGCAACUAAAACGUUUUGAAAGCACACAAAUGGUGUAAAUACAAAAUUCCACAUGCUGAAAACAACGUGGGGAAGGGCAGGAAUGACUUACACCCUUUGUGUUAUGCAAAGGCACAAAGACACAAACAGAUGACAAAGGACACCACGAGACAGGAUGUGCUUAAGGUAAGAUCACAAUGAGGAAGGACACUUUGUGGACAACUGUAAGGAAAUCUUAGACUAUAUAAUGCCCAGCACAAGAUUAAGCAACAGUGAGCACAUGUUAGUCUCACAAGGAAUGUGCAGUUUUUCUUACAUAGACUCGAAGUUACCUCCUUCACUGCCUAUUGGAGGGAACAGCAUAUUGGGGUGCCCAGAGGUUGACAUGGACAUCAACAUCCAAUGUCUCAGCCUACAGGUAGAAGAUGUGGUAUAAACUGAGGCAGGGCUAGCUGCAUUUCUUUAGGCUGGGAGGGGUUUGGGUUCAGACAGAGGCAGAAACAACAGUUUGAUGGAGCUGUGACCACAGAGCAACCUGCUGUGAAACGCACGUACCUACCUCCCCAAACCAUCCCAUGUUUUUCAAAGAAUAAAAUUCUCCUAAACUUGUUUUGCAGAUUCGUGAGCAAUUGCUAACCAGUAGCUGCUUUUUCCCAAACAGUCAUCUUAAAAGUUUAUUACCUGGAACAAAAGAAAAUAGCAGCUGAGA